UACGUAGGGUGCGAGCGUUGUCCGGAUUUACUGGGCGUAAAGAGCUCGUAGGCGGUUUGUCACGUCGUCUGUGAAAACCCGAGGCUUAACCUCGGGCCUGCAGGCGAUACGGGCAGACUUGAGUACUGUAGGGGAGACUGGAAUUCCUGGUGUAGCGGUGAAAUGCGCAGAUAUCAGGAGGAACACCGAUGGCGAAGGCAGCUCGCUGGGACGGUACUGACGCUGAGGAGCGAAAGCGUGGGGAGCGAACAGG
rnacentral:rRNA from 1 species